rfam:Pan troglodytes isolate Yerkes chimp pedigree #C0471 (Clint) chromosome 3, whole genome shotgun sequence.
UAUUGGGUUGGUGCAAAAGUAAUUGUGGUUUUCGCCACUGAAUGUAAUGGCAAAAACCGCAAUUACUUUUGCACCAACCUAAUA